AGCAGCUUUGUUAUAUUCUUCCAUGAUAGAAGCAAUUAGUAUCCUAUCUGGAUACUCUUCUUUCAAUUGCUUAAACUCUUUCAGCAUUGUUUCCAGAGGUCGAUCACUAAUGAGCUCAAUAUUCUGCCACCCAAUAAUUUGUCCUUUGGCAGAACCAUUUGCAUCUGCUCUUAGUUUAGCAUAUCUAGGGGUCACAUUUUUUACUUUAUCGGCUUCCAAAGACACCGUUUUGGCGAUAACACCACCCCAGCCUUCAUCAAAGGCUCUCUUCAUCACUGUAUAGUUGGUCCCUGGUGGACCCGACCCAAUAACAAAUGGGUUAGGCAUUUUCAACCCGUUAACAGUUACACUUAGAUCGGGCUCCACUGAUUGGCCCUCUAAUGCCAUAAUUCUGAACCCAACUCGUUUUCUACCGAAAUUUAACCGACCAGCCCGACCCAUCACCGGGUUUUCAACACCCGAGUUCCCAUCAAGUCCAAUUCUGAUUCGUUGAGCCAAUCCAAGAGACGCCAUAGCUGGGAGAAAAUUGAAGAAGUUGGUUUCUGACUCAGUUGAAACAGGAAACAGAGGAAAAGAUGAAAAUGAAUAUCUAGGAAUCUGAGUUGGGAGAAUAAGAAAAUUGUAUUUCAAUAGCUGUUGAUUGGAG
rnacentral:misc_RNA from 1 species